AGCAGCCGCGGUAAUUCCAGCUCCAAUAGCGUAUAUUAAAGUUGUUGCAGUUAAAAAGCUCGUAGUUGAAUUUCGAGAUCAGUACGCUGGUCGUGCCUUUGGUAUGCACUGGUGUCACUGGUUUCUCCCUUCUGAAGAACUGUCAUGCCAUUCAGUUGGUGUGGCGGGGAAUCAGGACUGUUACUUUGAAAAAAUUAGAGUGUUUAAAGCAGGCUCGCGCUUGAAUACAUUAGCAUGGAAUAAUGAAAUAGGACGUUUGACCCUAUUUUGUUGGUUUCUAGGAUCGACGUAAUGAUUAAUAGGGAUAGUUGGGGGCAUUAGUAUUCAAUUGUCAGAGGUGAAAUUCUUGGAUUUAUUGAAGACUAACUACUGCGAAAGCAUUUGCCAAGGAUGUUUUCAUUAAUCAAGAACGAAAGUUAGGGGAUCGAAGACGAUCAGAUACCGUCGUAGUCUUAACCAUAAACUAUACCGACUAGGGAUCGGAUGAUGUUAAUUUUUAAUGACUCAUUC
rnacentral:rRNA from 1 species